AUGGCGUCCCGGAGCUGCACCUUCCUGGAGAUCCUGCUCGCCAUCAUCCUGCCGCCGCUCGGUGUCUUCCUCCACUACGGCUGCUGCAGCAUGGAGUUCUGCAUCUGCCUGCUGCUCACCAUCCUGGGCUACAUCCCCGGCAUCAUCUACGCGGUCUACGUGCUUGUCGCGCUCGGCUCGGAGGAGCGGGAUCGGGACUACGACACCCUUGCUUAA
rnacentral:rRNA from 1 species